UAGUGACUGUAUGCCUUGUGUAGAGAGUAUCAGCUCCAGCCAUGUGGCCCAAUGGAUCAGAUCUGAUUUUAUGCAUUGUUACAUAAAAUCAUCCAAAUCUCCUGACGUUGAAGUGUAGGCUUCAAAUCUUAAAACUCUUUGUGGCUUAAAACAAAGAAACACAACUGCAGGAAAUGUAGGACUAUCAAUAUGUAAACUAUCUGCAAACAAAUGGCAAGAACAAUUUCCUCUCUUCCUUGAGAAAAGACGCUCAGAUUCUAAGGGACUUCUCAUAUCACAGAAAGCAGUGAAUGAUGACAUGAAGCUCCUUCCUUCAUCUAGCACAGCAAUGGGGCCCAAAUUCAACAGACUAAUCUGGAAGAUGCCCUGAUGCUUAGACAAGGCCUCUGCCAGGAAAGGACAGGACCGGGAAAGGGGAAAGCACACAACAGAAGAUCUGUUAAGGAGAUGCUGGACCAUUUUACCAUUUACAUAUGUGGGAUGAAAACAUUUGUCAUGCGAGGCCACAGAGGAAAUCAAGCUCAGAAUCAAAGGAUUCUCAAAAUUAUGCUUCAGCUAACUUUUGUUUCCUCCACCCUGCACUGGAUAAUUAUUCAUCCUAGGGAUAAAUAAGUAACCACCUCAACCUAACCCAUUUGAGGAUAGGGUAGUAGUUGUCCCUUUAAACGAAUUGAGACAGGUAGUGGAACCCAUCAACUGUUGCUGCUUACA